rnacentral:rRNA from 1 species
UACAGGGGGGGCAAGCGUUGUUCGGAAUUACUGGGCGUAAAGCGUGCGUAGGUGGUUUGUUAAGUCUGUUGUGAAAGCCCCGGGCUCAACCUGGGAAUGGCAAUGGAUACUGGCAAGCUAGAGUGCGGUAGAGGGUAGUGGAAUUCCCGGUGUAGCGGUGAAAUGCGUAGAGAUCGGGAGGAACACCAGUGGCGAAGGCGGCUACCUGGACCAGCACUGACACUGAGGCACGAAAGCGUGGGGAGCAAACAGG